AGUGGAAAACGAUGUGAAGUUACUUAAACAACCAGGAGGUUGGCUUAGAAGCAGCCAUCCUUUAAAGAAAGCGUAAUAGCUCACUGGUCUAGUGAUUUUGCGCGGAAAAUAUAACGGGGCUAAAGUAAGUACCGAAGCUGUAGACUUGCGCACAACUUAGAUUAUUUAAGUUUAGAAUAUGAGAAACUAAGUUAUAUGUUUAGUUAUAUUUUUACUGAUUUUUAUAGAGUAAAGAUAGAAAUAAAACUUAGUAAAAUCAGUAAAAAUAUUCUUAGACUAAAGUUAAGUAGUUUAAGUUGUGUGCAAGUGGUAGGAGAGCGUUCUAUUUGCGUCGAAGGUAUACCGGUAAGGAGUGCUGGAGCAAAUAGAAGUGAGCAUGCAGGCAUGAGUAGCGAUAAUUAAUGUGAGAAUCAUUAACGCCGUAAACCCAAGGUUUCCUACGCGAUGCUCGUCAUCGUAGGGUUAGUCGGGUCCUAAGUCGAGUCCGAAAGGGGUAGACGAUGGCAAAUUGGUUAAUAUUCCAAUACCAACAUUAGUGUGCGAUGGAAGGACGCUUAGGGCUAAGGGGGCUAGCGGAUGGAAGUGCUAGUCUAAGGUCGUAGGAGGUUAUACAGGCAAAUCCGUAUAACAAUACUCCGAGAACUGAAAGGCUUUUUGAAGUCUUCGGAUGGAUAGAAGAACCCCUGAUGCCAUCGAGCCAAGAAAAGUUUCUAAGUUUAGCUAAUGUUGCCCGUACCGUAAACCGACACAGGUGGGUGGGAUGAGUAUUCUAAGGCGCGUGGAAGAACUCUCUUUAAGGAACUCUGCAAAAUAGCACCGUAUCUUCGGUAUAAGGUGUGGUUCGCUUCGUAUUAGGAUUUACUCCGAAAGCGAAGAAACUUACAACAAAGAGUCCCUCCCGACUGUUUACCAAAAACACAGCACUCUGCUAACUCGUAAGAGGAUGUAUAGGGUGUGACGCCUGCCCGGUGCUCGAAGGUUAAUUGAUGGGGUUAGCAUUAGCGAAGCUCUUGAUCGAAGCCCGAGUAAACGGCGGCCGUAACUAUAACGGUCCUAAGGUAGCGAAAUUCCUUGUCGGUUAAAUACCGACCUGCAUGAAUGGCGUAACGAGAUGGGAGCUGUCUCAAAGAGGGAUCCAGUGAAAUUGUAGUGGAGGUGAAAAUUCCUCCUACCCGCGGCAAGACGGAAAGACCCCGUGGACCUUUACUACAGCUUGACACUGCUAUUUGGAUAAGAAUGUGCAGGAUAGGUGGGAGGCUUUGAGUAUAUGACGCCAGUUGUAUAUGAGCCAUUGUUGAGAUACCACUCUUUCUUAUUUGGGUAGCUAACCAGCUUGAGUUAUCCUCAAGUGGGACAAUGUCUGGUGGGUAGUUUGACUGGGGCGGUCGCCUCCCAAAUAAUAACGGAGGCUUACAAAGGUUGGCUCAGAACGGUUGGAAAUCGUUCGUAGAGUAUAAAGGUAUAAGCCAGCUUAACUGCAAGACAUACAAGUCAAGCAGAGACGAAAGUCGGUCUUAGUGAUCCGGUGGUUCUGUGUGGAAGGGCCAUCGCUCAAAGGAUAAAAGGUACCCCGGGGAUAACAGGCUGAUCUCCCCCAAGAGCUCACAUCGACGGGGAGGUUUGGCACCUCGAUGUCGGCUCAUCGCAUCCUGGGGCUGGAGCAGGUCCCAAGGGUAUGGCUGUUCGCCAUUUAAAGCGGUACGCGAGCUGGGUUCAGAACGUCGUGAGACAGUUCGGUCCCUAUCUGCCGUGGGCGUAAGAAGAUUGAAGAGAUUUGACCCUAGUACGAGAGGACCGGGUUGAACAAACCACUGGUGUAGCUGUUGUUCUGCCAAGAGCAUCGCAGCGUAGCUAAGUUUGGAAAGGAUAAACGCUGAAAGCAUCUAAGCGUGAAGCCAACUCUAAGAUGAAUCUUCUCUAAGCUCUCUAGAAGACUACUAGUUUGAUAGGCUGGGUGUGUAAUGGAUGAAAGUCCUUUAGCUGACCAGUACUAAUAGAGCGUUUGGCUUAUCUUUAAUAAAGCAU
rnacentral:rRNA from 1 species